UAGGGCUAUACGGAUUCGAACCGUAGACAUUCUCGGUGUAAACGAGGCGCUCUACCGCUGAGCUAUAGCCCU
rnacentral:tRNA from 2 species